rnacentral:rRNA from 1 species
GGACAGAUGGGAGCUUGCUCCCUGAUGUUAGCGGCGGACGGGUGAGUAACACGUGGGUAACCUGCCUGUAAGACUGGGAUAACUCCGGGAAACCGGGGCUAAUACCGGAUGGUUGUUUGAACCGCAUGGUUCAAACAUAAAAGGUGGCUUCGGCUACCACUUACAGAUGGACCCGCGGCGCAUUAGCUAGUUGGUGAGGUAACGGCUCACCAAGGCAACGAUGCGUAGCCGACCUGAGAGGGUGAUCGGCCACACUGGGACUGAGACACGGCCCAGACUCCUACGGGAGGCAGCAGUAGGGAAUCUUCCGCAAUGGACGAAAGUCUGACGGAGCAACGCCGCGUGAGUGAUGAAGGUUUUCGGAUCGUAAAGCUCUGUUGUUAGGGAAGAACAAGUACCGUUCGAAUAGGGCGGUACCUUGACGGUACCUAACCAGAAAGCCACGGCUAACUACGUGCCAGCAGCCGCGGUAAUACGUAGGUGGCAAGCGUUGUCCGGAAUUAUUGGGCGUAAAGGGCUCGCAGGCGGUUUCUUAAGUCUGAUGUGAAAGCCCCCGGCUCAACCGGGGAGGGUCAUUGGAAACUGGGGAACUUGAGUGCAGAAGAAGAGUGGAAUUCCACGUGUAGCGGUGAAAUGCGUAGAGAUGUGGAGGAACACCAGUGGCGAAGGCGACUCUCUGGUCUGUAACUGACGCUGAGGAGCGAAAGCGUGGGGAGCGAACAGGAUUAGAUACCCUGGUAGUCCACGCCGUAAACGAUGAGUGCUAAGUGUUAGGGGGUUUCCGCCCCUUAGUGCUGCAGCUAACGCAUUAAGCACUCCGCCUGGGGAGUACGGUCGCAAGACUGAAACUCAAAGGAAUUGACGGGGGCCCGCACAAGCGGUGGAGCAUGUGGUUUAAUUCGAAGCAACGCGAAGAACCUUACCAGGUCUUGACAUCCUCUGACAAUCCUAGAGAUAGGACGUCCCCUUCGGGGGCAGAGUGACAGGUGGUGCAUGGUUGUCGUCAGCUCGUGUCGUGAGAUGUUGGGUUAAGUCCCGCAACGAGCGCAACCCUUGAUCUUAGUUGCCAGCAUUCAGUUGGGCACUCUAAGGUGACUGCCGGUGACAAACCGGAGGAAGGUGGGGAUGACGUCAAAUCAUCAUGCCCCUUAUGACCUGGGCUACACACGUGCUACAAUGGACAGAACAAAGGGCAGCGAAACCGCGAGGUUAAACCAAUCCCACAAAUCUGUUCUCAGUUCGGAUCGCAGUCUGCAACUCGACUGCGUGAAGCUGGAAUCGCUAGUAAUCGCGGAUCAGCAUGCCGCGGUGAAUACG